rnacentral:rRNA from 1 species
GGGGAAUUUUGGACAAUGGGCGCAAGCCUGAUCCAGCCAUGCCGCGUGCGGGAAGAAGGCCUUCGGGUUGUAAACCGCUUUUGUCGGGGAAGAAAACUUCUGGGCUAAUACCCCGGGAGGAUGACGGUACCCGAAGAAUAAGCACCGGCUAACUACGUGCCAGCAGCCGCGGUAAUACGUAGGGUGCAAGCGUUAAUCGGAAUUACUGGGCGUAAAGCGUGCGCAGGCGGUGAUGCAAGACAGAUGUGAAAUCCCCGGGCUUAACCUGGGAACUGCAUUUGUGACUGCAUUGCUGGAGUGCGGCAGAGGGGGAUGGAAUUCCGCGUGUAGCAGUGAAAUGCGUAGAUAUGCGGAGGAACACCGAUGGCGAAGGCAAUCCCCUGGGCCUGCACUGACGCUCAUGCACGAAAGCGUGGGGAGCAAAC